rnacentral:lncRNA from 1 species
GUCAGCCCGACGCCGCGGGAGCCUAGGUAGUCAUCCAUCAGAAUAAUGACCAUUAAUGCGUCAUUCCGCCGGGCCGGACUGCCCUGGACGGCGCUCUAGGCAAGCCAUCCACAGCCUGAAGUGAGAUGCCAGCCAGAGACAGCCUGAGUCCGAGACACAAGGCAGAGAGAAUGAAGUACAAAUCAUAAUGGUCAUCACUCAGUGAACACACUCCCUUAAGCACCAUCCAGGAUGUUUAGCUGGUUUUUAAAGGAGAAAGAGACCGCUGAGAGAAAACACUGGAGUGGCAGCCCAGGCAGCCGUGCCUGCAGGAGGAUGCCUCCCAGCAGAACAGAGUCCUCACUUUCUGCACUUGAACUGUGUGGUGCUAGGAACGAACAGGCUGCUGUCAGGUACUUUAGGUUCAGAAGUGUAAAACAGGAAAUGUAUUGCUGUGACUUUUGUGUUAUUAACUCCUGAAUUUCCUUAGCCUAUACAUUGUUUCUUCAUGUAUGUGCAUCCUAAGCCUAUACAUUGUUUCUUCAUGUAUGUGCAUCCUUUGCCUGGAAUGAAGUAUAUUCAGCAAAAGUGAC